rnacentral:rRNA from 1 species
GGGGGCUUCGNCUCUCGCCUUUAGAUUGGCCCAAGGGGGAUUAGCUAGUUGGUGAGGUAAUGGCUCACCAAGGCAACGAUCCCUAGCUGGUUUGAGAGGAUGAUCAGCCACACUGGGACUGAGACACGGCCCAGACUCCUACGGGAGGCAGCAGUGGGGAAUAUUGCACAAUGGGCGCAAGCCUGAUGCAGCCAUGCCGCGUGUGUGAAGAAGGCCUUCGGGUUGUAAAGCACUUUCAGUCAGGAGGAAAGGUUAGUAGUUAAUACCUGCUAGCUGUGACGUUACUGACAGAAGAAGCACCGGCUAACUCCGUGNCAGCAGCCGCGGUAAAUACGGAGGGUGCGAGCGUUAAUCGGAAUUACUGGGCGUAAAGCGUACGCAGGCGGUUUGUUAAGCGAGAUGUNANAGCCCNGGGCUCAACCUGGGGANCUGCAUUUCGAACUGGGCAAACUAGAGUGUGAUAGAGGGUGNNAGAAUUUCAGGUGUANCGGUGAAAUGCGUAGAGAUC